rnacentral:rRNA from 1 species
GGCCAGACUCCUACGGGAGGCAGCAGUGGGGGAUAUUGCACAAUGGGGGAAACCCUGAUGCAGCGACGCCGCGUGGGUGAAGAAGCGCCUCGGCGCGUAAAGCCCUGUCAGCAGGGAAGAAAAUGACGGUACCUGAGUAAGAAGCCCCGGCUAACUACGUGCCAGCAGCCGCGGUAAUACGUAGGGGGCAAGCGUUAUCCGGAUUUACUGGGUGUAAAGGGAGCGUAGACGGUAUGGCAAGUCUGAAGUGAAAGCCCCGGGCUCAACCUGGGAACUGCUCUGGAAACUGUUAAACUAGAGUGCUGGAGAGGCAGGCGGAAUUCCUAGUGUAGCGGUGAAAUGCGUAGAUAUUAGGAGGAACACCAGUGGCGAAGGCGGCCUGCUGGACAGUAACUGACGUUGAGGCUCGAAAGCGUGGGGAGCAAACAGGAUUAGAUACCCCAGUA